AACGAACGCUGGCGGCAUGCCUAACACAUGCAAGUCGAACGAGAUCUUCGGGUCUAGUGGCGCACGGGUGCGUAACGCGUGGGAAUCUGCCCUUUGGUUCGGAAUAACAGUUGGAAACGACUGCUAAUACCGGAUGAUGACGAAAGUCCAAAGAUUUAUCGCCAGAGGAUGAGCCUGCGUAGGAUUAGCGAGUUGGUGGGGUAAAGGCGCACCAAGGCGACGAUCCUUAGCUGGUCUGAGAGGAUGAUCAGCCACACUGGGACUGAGACACGGCCCAGACUCCUACGGGAGGCAGCAGUGGGGAAUAUUGGAAAAUGGGCGAAAGCCUGAUCCAGCAAUGCCGCGUGAGUGAUGAAGGCCUUAGGGUUGUAAAGCUCUUUUACCCGGGAUGAUAAUGACAGUACCGGGAGAAUAAGCUCCGGCUAACUCCGUGCCAGCCGCCGCCGUAAGAC
rnacentral:rRNA from 1 species